AACGCUAGCUACAGGCUUAACACAUGCAAGUCGAGGGGCAGCAUGACCUAGCAAUAGGUUGAUGGCGACCGGCGCACGGGUGAGUAACACGUAUCCAACCUGCCGAUUAUUCCGGGAUAGCCUUUCGAAAGAAAGAUUAAUACUGGAUAGCAUAACGAGAAGGCAUCUUCUUGUUAUUAAAGAAUUUCGAUAAUCGAUGGGGAUGCGUUCCAUUAGUUUGUUGGCGGGGUAACGGCCCACCAAGACAUCGAUGGAUAGGGGUUCUGAGAGGAAGGUCCCCCACAUUGGAACUGAGACACGGACCAGACUCCUACGGGAGGCAGCAGUGAGGAAUAUUGGUCAAUGGGCGAGAGCCUGAACCAGCCAAGUCGCGUGAAGGAAGAAGGAUCUAUGGUUCGUAAACUUCUUUUGCAGGGGAAUAGAGUGCAGGACGUGUCCUGUUUUGUAUGUACCCUGAGAAUAAGGAUCGGCUAACUCCGUGCCAGCAGCCGCGGUAAUACGGAGGAUCCGAGCGUUAUCCGGAUUUAUUGGGUUUAAAGGGUGCGUAGGUGGUUUGAUAAGUCAGCGGUGAAAGUUUGCAGCUUAACUGUAAAAAUGCCGUUGAAACUGUCGGACUUGAGUGUAAAUGAGGUAGGCGGAAUGCGUGGUGUAGCGGUGAAAUGCAUAGAUAUCACGAAGAACUCCGAUUG
rnacentral:rRNA from 1 species